AAAAGUAAAAUAAUUUUGCCAUAGAAAUGUUUUCAAUUUUCUUGGAUAACCCUUUACUAUUUAAACCGGCCAUCUCCGACCAAAAUAGCUAAUCUGUUUUAUGUUCAAACUGACCAGAUCCAGGCUCUCACACCUACCCUACAAUGUUAUUCUA
rnacentral:lncRNA from 1 species